CCAACUACUCUUCUCCAUAGUAGUCGGCUUCUCCUCGCACAAGAGAGCAUCAAUCAACCCUUGUUGAAUGAGCACAUCCUUCGCCCUCAUUUGCUAUAGGAAGAAAUUACUCUUUCCAUCAUAUAUACUAGUUGAUUUCUAUCUUGAUUGAGCCUGUCUAAUCCAUCUUCAACCUCGAUCAACACUGCCAUAAUCUCGGACAAUCUCGUGCUCGAAUACCACUUGUUGGAAGGAUCUCUCGUGCGGAAUAUGGAUCUCCACCCA
rnacentral:lncRNA from 1 species